AUAGCUCAGUGGUAGAGCACUUGCCUAGCAAGCAUGAGGUCCUGGGUUCAGUCCCCAGU
rnacentral:tRNA from 1 species